rnacentral:rRNA from 1 species
UACGUAGGGGGCAAGCGUUGUCCGGAAUCAUUGGGCGUCAAGAGCUCGUAGGCGGUGUGUCACGUCGGCCGUGAAAACCUGCAGCUUAACUGUGGGCGUGCGGUCGAUACGGGCAUCACUGGAGUUCGGCAGGGGAGACUGGAAUUCCUGGUGUAGCGGUGAAAUGCGCAGAUAUCAGGAGGAACACCGGUGGCGAAGGCGGGUCUCUGGGCCGAUACUGACGCUGAGGAGCGAAAGCGUGGGGAGCAAACAGG